GAUGAACGCUGACAGAAUGCUUAACACAUGCAAGUCAACUUGAACUUCGGUUUGGGUGGCGGACGGGUGAGUAACGCGUAAAGAACUUGCCUCACAGCUAGGGACAACAUUUGGAAGCGAAUGCUAAUACCUGAUAUUAUGAUUAUAUGGCAUCGUAUAAUUAUGAAAGCUAUAUGCGCUGUGAGAGAGCUUUGCGUCCCAUUAGCUAGUUGGAGAGGUAACAGCUCACCAAGGCGAUGAUGGGUAGCCGGCCUGAGAGGGUGAUCGGCCACAAGGGGACUGAGACACGGCCCUUACUCCUACGGGAGGCAGCAGUGGGGAAUAUUGGACAAUGGACCGAGAGUCUGAUCCAGCAAUUCUGUGUGCACGAUGAAGUUUUUCGGAAUGUAAAGUGCUUUCAGUUGGGAAGAAAAAAAUGACGGUACCAACAGAAGAAGUGACGGCUAAAUACGUG
rnacentral:rRNA from 1 species